GUUUAGAACGUAGGAAUGUCAGGCCUGGCUAAACUGUGAAAGGCAGCUGAGAUGGUCGGGAGAUCACGCUGGAGUGAGUGUGGGUCUGACCAUCCAGCUUUGAGGACUCUUCCUCUCGUCUAAACUUUGUUUUUACAGAUCAUAAGAGGCUGAAAAGUGUUUCUCUGUUAUGCUGAAGAUCACAGAGUAUUCAGGAACGGGGCCAAAUGAGAAUUCCUUGUGUUGUGAAUAUUCUGUCUAGAAGAGUAUUUCUUAUGUGAAGCCCCUCAACAACACCAGCAGACGCAGUGGUUACGUGGUAUGAAAUUCUGAAAUGAUGCAAUCAUAAACACUAAUAAGACUUUGAGAAGCAGAAGAGACCUCGGAGCUACCUAACUCCGACACCUUAACAUCAAGACCCUGAGUUAUAACAUAACUAGGUGAAGGACCCGGGGAUUCAUUUCAUCAACACAACUUCUGUUGGCCUCACGUCUAUUAAAACGCUCACACUUGUACGAGUCCCCACAUGAGGUAUGGCUACAAAAUGCCUUUAAAGACAUUCGUCAGCUAAAGAAAUAACCAGAAAAGCCUCCCAACAAAUAACUGUGUUUCUGAGAGAAGCGUCAGGCACUUUGGAAAGGCCCAUCCCACCGAAAGGCUCUAGCAUUCAGCAAAGUCAACGCUAUCUCCGAUUUAGUGAUUGACAACAGGGAAGGCAGCUUCAUUCUAGGAAUACCCGCGAGUCAUCUCUUUGCUAUUUUUGUGAGGUACACAGUCUGAAAUUUUGCCUCUUUUGUUUCCUUGGUUCGAGGAUAGAAUGGACACUCUCUAGAAAAACAAUAUUAAAAACUUAUUUACAAAGUGGUUGCUUCUCAGCUGAAGGGUGCCACAUACCUUCAGAAACAAACAAACAAACAAACAAACAAAAAACAAACACCCCAAACCUUACUGGAACCCUUUUGUGACAUUGAUAUGUGAUAUGAGAGGAAGAAAUAUUUAUCCACUUCACAGUGACUUUAUUGGAUUAAGUAGCAGUUUAAAGGAAUCGAUAUUUUAAUAAGUUGUGUCCACUCUAUGUUCAUAAGCUUGGGUCUGCUCCACUUGGGUUUCAGAAACAAUCCAUCCACUAAUUUAAUCACAGGCAGUAGUGACUUUGCUUAUCGGUAAACAUAUACUUAAAUUCCCAAAUACCUGAGAGUUGCCUUGUAGUAAUUUUCAGAAGUACGUAAAAACCUCAAUAAAACACAUACAAGAUUCAAAAAGGUCUUUCUUCUUUGAAUCUUUUCUCAACUGCGAUCAUUUUAGAGAAAGAUCUUAGAGAUCCUUGAGUGGAUGGAUGACCUCUUCAUGUGGGUAGUGAUUCUAAAAGCUCUAGGAGUUCCAGAUUCCUCCGAGAAUCCCAGUGAGUCGAACCCGUGGAUUUUAGAUCAAGAACCUUGAGUUGCCAGAUUACACCCUGAGGUCAGAGGAGUCUGGUGACCUGCUAAGAGUCACACGGUGCUUUUUUGCCUGCCUGGACCAUAUUUCCCAAUUCUGUGGAAAACAGACUAAUAAAUCCCAAGUCCUCAAGUCUUAAAAUGCAUCCAGCCAGAUACAUAUGGACAGCGAGAGCAUGGAGAUUUAAAAACAGAGCAGAAAAAAGUAACGAACAGAAUGUGGCAUUUCCCUUGGUCUGUUGCUAACGGCCCACAUACAACAUGCUUAAAAAAAAAAUCCCAUCCUGGCACUUCUUUUUCAUCAUCAUUUAAAAAUGAUUCAAACGGACCUUUGGAAUGUACGGCAUUGGGAAUACAUCCCAUGUGGGGAUAAACGGAAAAGAGCUUCCUUGAGCAGGGCUGUGUUUUCAGUGGUUGUCAGGCUGCAGUGCAUGUGUAUCCCAUCUCUUUUGUUCGGUCAUACUCGUAAAGCCAAACACAAUAUUUUAGUUGUAUAUUCUCAGGGCUACAACGCGAGUAGCAUUUAACAUUUCUUUUUGUAAGACAAAUAAUUAUGGACAUGGUUUUUAAAAUGCCUUUAGGAUUUGAAGAUGUGAGAGAAACAUGUAAAAGGGAAUGACUUUAUUCUUUAUUUUCUAUUUAUUCUUUUUUUUUUUCCCCCUUAGUGACUCUUAAGUCCAUCACACUUUGUUUUACUAAAAGCUAGAGUCUCCUGCCUCUUAGUGACUACCUGGGGUGGGGGGGUUCUGAAUAUCGCCCCAAUUCAAGUCUUUCACACCGAUUCUCAGGCCUGGAUGUCCCAUCUACUCCUACACAGUGUGCAUUAUAAUUUAAAACUUCAGUAAACUUAGAAAGCCCAUAACCAGCCAAUGGUCUAGGAACCUGUUUUGAGGCUCCUGCUUGUCAGCAAAACUUCCUAUUGAUAACUGUU